GCGGGCGUGGCGAAAUUGGCAGACGCGCCGGCUUUAGGUGCCGGUGGGCUAACGCCCUUGGGGGUUCGAGUCCCUCCGCCCGCA
rnacentral:tRNA from 1 species